GACGAACGCUGGCGGCGUGCUUAACACAUGCAAGUCGAACGGAAAGGCCCUGCUUUUGUGGGGUGCUCGAGUGGCGAACGGGUGAGUAACACGUGAGUAACCUGCCCUUGACUUUGGGAUAACUUCAGGAAACUGGGGCUAAUACCGGAUAGGAGCUCCUGCUGCACGGUGGGGGUUGGAAAGUUUCGGCGGGUGGGGAUGGACUCGCGGCUUAUCAGCUUGUUGGUGGGGUAGUGGCUUACCAAGGCUUUGACGGGUAGCCGGCCUGAGAGGGUGACCGGCCACAUUGGGACGGAGAUACGGCCCAGACUCCUACGGGAGGCAGCAGUGGGGAAUAUUGCACAAUGGGCGGAAGCCGGAUGCAGCAACGCCGCGUGCGGGAUGACGGCCUUCGGGUUGUAAACCGCUUUCGCCUGUGACGAAGCGUGAGUGACGGUAAUGGGUAAAGAAGCACCGGCUAACUACGUGCCAGCAGCCGCCGUAACAC
rnacentral:rRNA from 1 species